rnacentral:lncRNA from 1 species
UGUGCAUUAAGAGGUGCCCAUGAGCAAGCAGCGAGGUGAGAAGCCAGGGCCCAGUGCAGGCUGGGGUGAGACACGCAGCCGCCAAGCAGGUCCGAGCGCCACCGACCAGCUCGGCCACUCCUGGAGUACGCCCAGAGCAACGAGAGCCUGUCACCACACAUCUGCCCACAGGUGGCCUCAGCAGCUCUGUGCACCACAGUCAAGCGCCAGCGCAGCCCAGGGUCAAUGUCCCAGGUGAAGGGACACCCAGCCUGGCCCAGGCACACCUGGAGUGUCCUCAGCCACAAGCAGGAGCGAGGUGACAGCUGCAGCAUGGAGGGACCUGAGGACCUUAUGCCCUAUGAGAACCAGACACACGAGGCCACAGAGCGUGACCCAGUGACAAGAGACCCCCAAUGCAGGAGAGUCCAGAGGCAGGAUGUAGACCUGUGGGUGCAGGGCUGGGAGGGAACGGGUUUCUCUUUGGAGUGACAGUGUUUCAGAACUAGGCACGGGAUGGUGGCACAUCGUGAAGUAGUGAGUCCACCACCUGCAGCCAGGCCCUCAGCGGCACCACGUAUGCUCGGCAGGCUCAGGCUGAGGGUCUCAUCCCCAGCAGGAAGAUUCACC